rnacentral:lncRNA from 1 species
GACUCAUUUUUCAAAUAAGCACCCACAUCUUUGUAUUAGUGUCCCAUACACAAGUGGCUAGUGAGAUCUGCCACCCUUUUUAUUGAGCAUACAUAGGAUGGGCCAGUCAAUCCAGAACAUUGAUUUCCGACUCAAUGCUCCUACGAUCAGAAAUAUUUAAGAUUAAGAUUUUAGGUCUCACUAGCAUGACCCAUUUAUAUCUCCUAAAUCCAUUGCACUAAUCUUUGAGGUUUAUCAUUAUCUUAAUCAU